rnacentral:rRNA from 1 species
UUGACCUCAAAUCAGGUAGGACUACCCGCUGAACUUAAGCAUAUCAAUAAGCGGAGGAAAAGAAACUAACAAGGAUUCCCCUAGUAACUGCGAGUGAAGCGGGAAAAGCUCAAAUUUAAAAUCUGGCAGUCUUCGAUUGUCCGAGUUGUAAUCUAGAGAAGUGUUAUCCGCGCUGGACCGUGUACAAGUCUCCUGGAAUGGAGCGUCAUAGAGGGUGAGAAUCCCGUCUUUGACACGGACUGCCAGGGCUUUGUGAUGCGCUCUCAAAGAGUCGAGUUGUUUGGGAAUGCAGCUCAAAAUGGGUGGUAAAUUCCAUCUAAAGCUAAAUAUUGGCGAGAGACCGAUAGCGAACAAGUACCGUGAGGGAAAGAUGAAAAGAACUUUGGAAAGAGAGUUAAACAGUACGUGAAAUUGCUGAAAGGGAAACGCUUGAAGUCAGUCGCGUUGUCUGGGAAUCAACCUUGCUUUUGCUGGGCGUACUUUCCAGAUAAUGGGUCAGCAUCAAUUUUGAUCGUUGGAUAAAGUCAGAAGGAAUGUGGCAUCUUCGGAUGUGUUAUAGCCUUUUGUCGUAUACAACGGUUGGGAUUGAGGAACUCAGCACGCCGCAAGGCCGGGUACUUGUACCACGUUCGUGCUUAGGAUGCUGGCAUAAUGGCUUUAAUCGACCCGUC